rnacentral:rRNA from 1 species
AGUGAACGCUGGCGGUAGGCCUAACACAUGCAAGUCGAACGGCAGCACAGUAAGAGCUUGCGCUUACGGGUGGCGAGUGGCGGACGGGGGAGGAAUACAUCGGAAUCUACUUUUUCGGGGGGGAUAACGUAGGGAAACUUACGCUAAUACCGCAUACGACCUACGGGUGAAAGCAGGGGAUCUUCGGACUUUGCGCGAUUGAAUGAGCCGAUGUCGGAUUCGCUAGUUGGCGGGGUAAAGGGCAACCAAGGCUACGAUCCGAAGCUGGUCUGAGAGGAUGAUCCGCCACAUUGUAACUGAGACACGGUCCAGACUCCUACGGUAGGCCGCAGUGGGGAAUAUUGGACAAUGGGGGCGAGCCUGAUCCAGCCAUACCGCGUGGGUGAAGAAGGCCUUCUGGUUGUAAAGCCAUUUUGUUGGGAAAGAAAAGCAGCAGGUUAAUCCCCCGCUGUUCUGACGGUACCCAAAGAAUAAGCACCGGCUAACUUCGUG